rnacentral:rRNA from 1 species
ACUCCUACGGGGGGCAGCAGUGGGGAAUAUUGCACAAUGGGCGCAAGCCUGAUGCAGCCAUGCCGCGUGUAUGAAGAGGGCCUUCGGGUUGUAAAGUACUUUCAGCAGUGAGGAAGGCGGAGUCGUUAAUAGCGGCCUCGUUUGACGUUAGCUGCAGAAGAAGCACCGGCUAACUCCGUGCCAGCAGCCGCGGUAA